ensembl:misc_RNA Metazoa_SRP Metazoan signal recognition particle RNA
GCCGGGCAUGGUGGCUCAUGCCUGUAAUCUCAGCUCUUUGGGAGGCCGAGGCAGGUGGAUCACCUGAGGUCAGGAGUUCGAGGCCAGCCUGGCCAACAUGGAGAAACCCUGUCUCUA